rnacentral:lncRNA from 1 species
UUUAGAGUUGAAACUCUAAUGCUGACCAACUGGGGAAAAGUUCAGUUUUAGGGUUGGGGCCCUAAUGCUGACUGAAGGAAAAGAGUUCAGUUUAGGGUUUAAAACCCUAAUGCUGACUAAAGGAAAAAGAUCAGUUUAGGGUUUAAAACCCUAAUGCUGACUGAAAUGAAAAAGUUCAGUUUAGGGUUUAAAACCCUAAUGCUGACUGAAUGGAAAAAGUUCAGUUUAGGGUUUAAAACCCUAAUGCUGACUGAAGGGAAGAGUUCAGUUUAGGG